CUUUCUGUGCCGUGUAGAUCUUAGAAACCGAGAGCCAUGGCGCCGGUGGCCGAUGGAUUCAGGCCUCUGGACGAGAAAUCCGUCAUGGAGUACAUCAAGGAGACGCCCACCCUCCACGCGCAGCUGGGGAACCAGCUGGACGGCGUCGUCAUCAAAGAAGUCGGCGACGGGAACCUCAACUUCGUCUACAUCGUCGUCGGCCCUGCCGGAUCCUUGGUCAUCAAGCAGGCUCUUCCGUACCUUCGCAUCAUAGGCGAAUCGUGGCCAUUGACAAAGGAGCGUGCGUAUUUUGAGGCGUUGGCAUUAAAAGAGCAAGGUCGAUGGUGUCCAGAUCAUGUACCAGAAGUUUACCAUUUUGACCGGCCUAUGUCUUUGAUUGCCAUGCGCUACUUGAAGCCACCACACAUAAUUUUGCGGAAAGGAUUGAUUGCUGGAAUUGAAUAUCCAUUGCUUGCUCAACAUAUGUCAGACUACAUGGCAAAGACACUUUUCUUCACAUCUCUUCUUUAUCAUUCUACAUUAGACCAUAGACAUGCAGUUGCAGAAUUUUGUGGAAAUGUGGAGCUUUGUAGGCACACUGAGCGGGUUGUCUUUUCAGACCCAUAUAAGGUGGCUCAGUAUAAUCGUUGGACUUCUCCUUACCUUGAUCAUGAUGCUGAGGCAGUUCGAGAAGAUGACACUUUAAAGAUUGAAGUGGCCGAGUUGAAAUCUAUGUUCUGUGAGAGGGCACAAGCCCUAAUUCAUGGAGAUCUUCAUACUGGUUCUGUCAUGGUGACUGGUGAUUCUACCCAGGUCAUUGAUCCAGAGUUUGCUUUUUAUGGACCCAUGGGGUUUGACAUAGGAGCCUUUUUAGGAAACCUAAUAUUGGCCUUCUUUGCACAAGAUGGGCAUGCUGACAAAGGGAAUGACCGUCAAGCAUACAAACAGUGGAUUUUGAAGACAGCUGAAGAAACUUGGAAUCUUUUUCAUCAGAAGUUCAUUUCACUCUGGGCUGGACACAAGGAUGGGAAUGGUGAGGCAUAUCCUGUGUCUAUAUACAACAAGCCUGAACUUCAACUCCUUGUCCAGAAGAGGUACAUGGCAGGUUUAUUCCAUGAUGCUCUAGGAUUUGGUGCUGCUAAAAUGAUAAGGAGGAUAGUAGGAGUAGCUCAUGUUGAAGAUUUUGAAUCAAUUGCUGAUGCUAGCAGGCGAGCAUAUUGUGAGCGCCGUGCCCUUGACUUUGCUAAAAUGCUUCUCAAGGAAAGACGCCGAUUCCAAUCCAUCAAUCAAGUCAUUUCAGCGAUCCAGGAAUAAUAUUAAGCUGUGGUUUGAGAAGACGUUGCUCCCUUUCCCCUCAAUAUAUGCUUAAGUUCCUGCGGAAUUCAGAUGUGAGUAAUUCGUGCCACGUGGAUUUAUGAAACCUACGUGUUUGAUUAUGUACAUUCCCAUGUCCAUUAUACCUUCAACUUGUGCUGCAAAUGCCUAUUCGGCCAUUGUUGGGAGUGAAACCAAGACCUUCUUCUGUGCUAUAACAUGAAGCCUUCCUUUUAUCAG